rnacentral:lncRNA from 1 species
UUCUUGCAAAUUGAAGGCUCAAAUCCUAACCAAAACAAAAUCCGAGCUUAGAAUCGUGUUCCUCAUCGCGAGAGGGUCUAGAGAAAUGCCUAAGCAAAGAGUCCGGUUCCUCUAGCGGACAAGCCGAGGGGAAAUCACGAGGAAAAGGCGCGCUCUAAAGUUCUCAGGUACCAAGAAAAAGGAUGAAGAUCAAGCAAAUGAAUCGAACCGAACACACACAUUUUAAGAACGCUUCCGCAUCCAAACUUUGUGUUAGAAACUAUGUAAAUUAAUGGUAGUUACUGUCUUGUAUGUGGUUUGUAACAACAAUACACGAAGGUUGUGUUAAUUUUGGGUUAAACUAUGAAAGUUUUUGUAAAGUCGUCAUUUUGGCGUUAAAU